GUAUUUUGAAUUGUUUAUUCAUAAUAUUUUUCAGACAAAGAGUUAAAAAAUAAAGGUUGAUGUUUGGUCGAUCUCCAUGAAGAAGAUCGACUGACAUUGCACACAAGGUGAGUACUAUUUUUAAAAAGUGCAGUAAAACACUUAUUAUGAAUGAUCCUUCCGCAGGUUCACCUACGGAAA
rnacentral:misc_RNA from 1 species